GAAAUGCGAUAAGUAGUGUGAAUUGCAGAAUUCAGUGAAUCAUCGAAUCUUUGAACGCACAUUGCGCCCUUUGGUAUUCCAAAGGGCAUGCCUGUUCGAGCGUCAUUUGUACCCUCAAGCUUUGCUUGGUGUUGGGCGUCUUGUCUCCAGUUCGCUGGAGACUCGCCUUAAAGUAAUUGGCAGCCGGCCUACUGGUUUCGUAGCGCAGCACAAGUCGCGCUCUCUUCCAGCCAAGGUCAGCAUCCACAAAGCCUUUUUUCAACUUUUGACCUCGGAUCAGGUAGGGAUACCCGCUGAACUUAAGC
rnacentral:misc_RNA from 1 species